rnacentral:rRNA from 1 species
UACGUAGGUGGCAAGCGUUGUCCGGAUUUACUGGGUGUAAAGGGCGUGCAGCCGGAGAGGCAAGUCAGAUGUGAAAUCCGCGGGCUCAACCCGCGAACUGCAUUUGAAACUGCUUCCCUUGAGUAUCGGAGAGGUAACCGGAAUUCCUAGUGUAGCAGUGAAAUGCGUAGAUAUCGAGAGGAACACUCGUGGCGAAGGCGGGUUCCUGGACAUUAACUGACGCUGAGGCACGAAGGCCAGGGGAGCGAAAGGG